rnacentral:rRNA from 1 species
UACGGGGGGGGCAAGCGUUGUUCGGAAUUACUGGGCGUAAAGGGCUCGUAGGCGGCCAACUAAGUCGGAUGUGAAAUCCCCAGGCUCAACCUGGGAACUGCAUCCGAUACUGGAUGGCUUGAAUCCGGGAGAGGGAUGCAGAAUUCCAGGUGUAGCGGUGAAAUGCGUAGAUAUCUGGAGGAACACCGGUGGCGAAGGCGGCAUCCUGGACCGGCAUUGACGCUGAGGCGCGAAAGCCAGGGGAGCAAAGCGG